rnacentral:rRNA from 1 species
AUUGAACGCUGGCGGCAGGCCUAACACAUGCAAGUCGAACGGGAUGGCGGACGGGUGAGUAAUGUCUGGGAAACUGCCUGGUAGAGGGGGAUAACGUCCGGAAACGGGGGCUAAUACCGCAUACUACCAGAUGGGCCUAGGUCGGAUGAGCUAGUUGGUGGGGUAAAGGCAUACCAAGGCGACGAUCCGUAACUGGUCUGAGAGGAUGAUCAGUCACACUGGAACUGAGACACGGUCCAGACUCCUACGGGAGGCAGCAGUGGGGAAUAUUGGACAAUGGGCGAAAGCCUGAUCCAGCCAUGCCGCGUGUGUGAAGAAGGUCUUCGGAUUGUAAAGCACUUUAAGUUGGGAGGCGUUACCAACAGAAUAAGCACCGGCUAACUUCGUGCCAGCAGCCGCGGUAAUAC